rnacentral:rRNA from 1 species
GAUGAACGCUAGCGGCGUGCUUAACACAUGCAAGUCGAACGGUGAAGCUCCAGCUUGCUGGAGUGGAUCAGUGGCGAACGGGUGAGUAACACGUGAGCAACCUGCCCCUGACUCUGGGAUAACAGCCGGAAACGGCUGCUAAUACCGGAUAUGCACCAUGAACGCAUGUUCUGUGAUGGGAAAGAUUUUUCGGUUGGGGAUGGGCUCGCGGCCUAUCAGCUUGUUGGUGAGGUAAUGGCUCACCAAGGCGUCGACGGGUAGCCGGCCUGAGAGGGUGACCGGCCACACUGGGACUGAGACACGGCCCAGACUCCUACGGGAGGCAGCAGUGGGGAGUAUUGCACAAUGGGCGAAAGCCUGAUGCAGCAACGCCGCGUGAGGGAUGACGGCCUUCGGGUUGUAAACCUCUUUUAGCAGGGAAGAAGCGAGAGUGACGGUACCUGCAGAAAAAGCGCCGGCUAACUACGUG